UCAAAGCGAGGAGGAUGUCUGUGCGUGACAUGAUCCAUAGCAGAUGAAUAUGCUGCGAAAAUAAGCGCCUAGGCCAGGAAAAAGAAAAAGAGUGACGGAGAUGUCACCAGCGCCUGUCUGAAUAGUUGGGACAUUUUCAACUGAUGUGCUCGGAGCAGCCAUGCAAAAAAGGGGGAUUGUUGGAAAAAAAACCCACUGGGCUCCUUCUCUCUGGGCGGGCGGCUGCUGCUGGCGGACGCUCACUCCUUAUUGCUGGCAUACCCGUCAUUUUCCCUGCUCUACAUGGUGUCAGAGGGGGAACGGGGAGAAGAUGACGUAUAGCUUGCUGAUUGUCUCAUUCACAGCUCAGCGGAGAGCAAGGAGCUUAAUUGAUUCUAGUUCAGUCCGAGGGGGAGUGAAGCAUGGAGGCCAUCCAUCACUGUCAUCGUCAUCCAUCAGCCGAUGCUGGAAGCAGAAAGGAUUAAAAUACAAGACCGAUCUUAAA